ACUGCUCAUUAGUGCUGGAAGGUUGUAAUAUUGGAAUAAAUCUUUCCAACUGACAUUAAGGAGAUCAAAGUUAAUUGAGUCUUCUAACAGCACAAGCCAUAAAAAUUGAGUCUUGACAGUUCUGCCACCAAUCCCAGGAAAGAAGAAACAAUUCAAACCCCCUUCCCUCACCCAUCAGAAUUGGUGGAGACAUCAAGAGGCAGGGACAGACGAUGCUUCAAAAAGUAGGAAGGCAAUCCUGUCUCUCUCUUUCUUUCUCUCCCUCUCACUCCUUGGUGUGUCCGUUGUCUUGUCCAGAUGUCUGUUUUAGUAUCUCUCAUCUUGAAAUAACUGUUUAUAGGACUCUUUAUAAAAACUUGGGAAACCAAGCUUUGAAGAAAAGAAGAAUAUUUGAAACAACUCUCUCCUUUAUGAUAUUGUUUAUAGACGUGCAAAAAUUUCAUUAAGGUUAGUUACAGGUUAUUAUAUAUAUAUUUGAAAGAUUUCAUUG
rnacentral:lncRNA from 1 species